rnacentral:rRNA from 1 species
UACGAAGGGGGCUAGCGUUGUUCGGAAUUACUGGGCGUAAAGGGCGCGUAGGCGGUCCUGAUCGUCGGAUGUGAAAGGCCUGGGCUCAACCUGGGAAUGGCAUCCGAUACGGCGGGACUGGAGUGUGGGAGAGGUUGGUGGAAUUCCCAGUGUAGAGGUGAAAUUCGUAGAUAUUGGGAAGAACACCAGUGGCGAAGGCGGCUCACUGGCCCGAUACUGACGCUGAGGCACGAAAGCGUGGGGAGCAAACAGG